rnacentral:antisense_RNA from 1 species
AAUUCUAGAGAAAAAUAAGAAAAACCAAAGACAUAAAAUGCCUUUGGUUUUUACUAUAUUUAUAUUUCUUGUUCGUAAUCGCUUUCAGGCUUUUGGUUUUCGAAUUGAAUUCCGACAACAUGAAUGUUCACUUCUUGUGCUUCAAGGGCAGUCAUAUUCAAAAGAGCCUGGCGAAUAUUAUCCUGGAUUUUUUGGGCAACAGCUGGAA